CGCGCUGACUGCAGUAGUAAUGCUACUUGCUCAUAAAAAGUUGAUCUAAAAAGUCUGUAUAAGCCAGAGUAGUUUAAGUUUACAACUACAGUCACAUUCACAAGUGAGCUAUUACCAGAACAGAUUCUUGAAAUAGGAAGUUAUAGGAUAAACCAAUUCAUAACCAAAAUACUGAUGAGCUUUAAGAGCAAAUCCAUCUGAAUCUAAACAACUAAAUACCAAAACAAAAACAAAGGGUAGAAGAAUUAAAUGUAAGCUCGGGGAGGGUUCCAAAUAUACAUACGAAUUCAAUACAGUAAUUGCACAAAAAGAAAGAGGGUAGUGUUAGAGGUUUAUGAUGGCUGAGGUUGGAUUUUACAUGCUUCACACAUGGGUGUUAAAAGAAACCUUUAAUGAUACACAUCAGGUAUUUAGCCAGAAGACCGAGUGCAGAACUAUUCUACAGAACUACACAAGAUGUGCAAACCACAGAUUAUUAAUACAUCAAUCAUUCUGUGAGAGUUAAGGUGAACAGAACUGGUUCCUGGUUAACAUUGUCGUAUAUAUGCUUUUUUUUCUGCCAUUCCCAGGUUACUGCAGAUCACACGCAUUCAAUGGAUAAACUGGUAUCACCCUUCUAAAAAAAAAAACUUACUCAAACUUAAGUUCUACGUGAGACAACUAAAAAUAGAUAUACCAAGGAUCAAAGAAAGCUGAAAUGGUGACUGUCUUUUUGAAAUACAAGCAAUACACAGAAAAUGCAUAAGGCUUUUGAUUAUCACUGCACAUUUUAAUUUAAGAAGUCGACACCUAAAGCUCAGACUUCUCAAUGAAGGUGAGAACUGGUCACCGCCCAUCCAACACCUCUCACUGCUGACAGAUCUUUGUUUCAACAACGAAAGAGUUUUCAAAGUGUCUGAUCGAAUGGCAGUUCUCCACUGAACGCUUCUGCAGACCCAUUAUUUGGUCUCUGCGCUGAAGUUUGAAGGUCUCUUUUCCAACACAGAGCUGGUAAAUGAAGAUUCCCAGAUCAGAUACAUUAUCUAUCUCCUCUGUAACCACCAUUUCCUCACGCACCAGGUAAGUCUGAGGCAAGUAGGAACCAGUCGCCAGUUUUGCAAAGAGAUCCAUCAGAUUUCUUGGUGGCAUAACUAUGGAUGUGUUCAGUGGAAUCACGUAGCAUUUACCCAGUUGCAGGUCAAGAUAUGCUGUCAAAAGCCUGUCAAAGUCAUGAACAAUCGCAGCUGGAUCACUGUCAGAGAACUUUGGAACGGGCACAUCAAUGAUGGCAAUGUUAUCAUCCUCCCGAAUGUCAGCUUCUUCAGCAAUAGGGAGGAAAUAAGGUUCGACAGCACGAUCCCGAUUCUCAUUCUCAAAGUAACACAUUUCACCACGGUACACCUUGUGCUUCGGCAUGAAGUACUUGUAGAUGCAGGCUCCACCAACAACAACUCCUGCCAAGAUGAAAGCUAAACCCAGUAGGGUCAACAGGCAUCUUCCAGAUGAGUUCUCACCUCCCUGCGUGGCAACUUCGGGAUCCUUGUCGGCCACCAGAGCCUCGCUCGCCUCCUUCUUGGGCUCGCCCUUCUGGGCGAAGGGGGAGCUGAAGGCGAUCUUCACCAUGGCGCCGACGCCGCGCUCCGCUUCGCAGCCUCCGGCCGAAGGAGCGGGGCCAGCU
rnacentral:lncRNA from 1 species